AUUGAACGCUGGCGGCAGGCCUAACACAUGCAAGUCGAACGAGUGGCGGACGGGUGAGUAAUGUCUGGGAAACUGCCUGAUGGAGGGGGAUAACUACUGGAAACGGUAGCUAAUACCGCAUACCAUCAGAUGUGCCCAGAUGGGCUUAGCUAGUCGGUGGGGUAACGCCUCACCUAGGCGACGAUCCCUCGCUGGUCUGAGCGGAUGACCAGCCACACUGGAACUGCGACACGGUCCAGACUCCGACGAGAGGCAGGAGUGGGGAAUAUUGCACAAUGGGCGGAAGCCUGAUGCAGCCAUGCCGCGUGUAUGAAGAAGGCCUUCGGGUUGUAAAGUACUUUCAGCGGGGAGGCGUUACCCGCAGAAGAAGCACCGGCUAACUCCGUGCCAGCAGCCGCGGUAAUUC
rnacentral:rRNA from 1 species